UCAAGGGCCCACAAAAAUUAAACAUGAAUAAUUUUUAAUUUUUAUUACAUUUACAAAUUGGUUGAAGGUGUUAGGACAAUUUAUGAUUUAUAAACAUAUGCUCAUAUAGUUGUUUGAUAACUAUUGCAUGCUUUGAUUGUUAUUGCAGUUAUUAACUUAAAUUUAACAUUAAAUUAUGUGAAUCUAAAUACAUAUUUAGAGAAUAGCUCACUUUAUUACUUUAAAUUUGCAUGUCAACUAUUUUUUACUUAUCUAUACUGCACAUGAACUAUUGUUGAUGAGUCUUUUGCAAGAAAUAUGAUGACCAAGCACAGCUUACUGAACAUGUUGAGAGGAAAAAAUAGCUUUCCAUAGAGAAGAUUCUCAAUGUUCUUAAAAGAAUAAUCAAUGAAGAUUGCCUACUACUAGAUUUCAUAAGGAAAGAUGAUCGUCCAAGGCCAUGUAUGACUUGGUUCAGUCUGGCAGAAUGCAGAGGGACAAUUAUCUUUUCUGAGACAUGAUGUGUCUGCACCACCUGAUGUAUUUACAUUUGCACAUUGUUCAAGACACCUGGCUAUUGAGCUUUUUCAUUUGAAGAGCCAAGUUUCUGUGUUUAUUUCCUUUAGAAGGUAUAUGAUUGUUAUAAUCUAGCAUGCAAUCACACAGGUAAGCAUAAAUCAGGCUGUUUUUUUUUCUUUUUCCUUUUUUUAAUAUGCUAAGAUUAGGCAAGUUAUUUCUUUGUUAUUUUCCUGGGAAAGGUUUGUUCACUAGAUUAGGCAUCAAGCAUUUUGUACGAAUGAAACACAGUCCCUCUGGGUCUUGAAUGUGUGACUUUCUUAUGUAGAUGUGUAUUUCUGCACUUAUCUAAUUGAUGAAGAUUGUCUGCAAUUAUUUUUAUCAAAAGACUAUUUAAAAAAAAUCACAUAUAAAGUUUAACCAUUAUGAAUGAUUAGAUGUGUGCUGUAUGUAACCAUAUUUCUUCAUCAUACAUAUAUCGUUUUUAGUUGCCAAACAUGUUAGGUUUCUUAAAAUAUGAAUUAUUGAAUUUGAUUUGAAGUUUAAGCUUUAGAAGGAUAUAUGGUUAGUAAUAUAUUUCUUAUGUUUGUCUACAGCUAGAAUGGACCUUAUUAGUAGUUCCUUCUUUUUCGCCCCUAAAAGAAAUCCAAUUUUAUCUAUCCAGCAACUUAGGGUCAUGCAUGCUUAGUAACAUUUUCUUGCUCUUUGUGGGACACGAGGCAAUAAUAGUUGGGAAAGUUAUCAGCCAUUUUACAAUGCAGAUUUGACCUUAGUCUCGAUACAUUGUUUGCUCACUAAAAUCUGUAUUUGUCAAUUACUUGAUGACGGCUUUAGCUUAGAUAUUGUGCUGCUGUUCUAACCUUAUAGCCUUCAGAAUUCUUUUCUCUGUGUUUUUGUGAUUAUUAUGUGUUAACAUCUCAGAAUCUGCUAUGUAUCAAAGUAAUUCUGUUUUCUGUGUGCAAGGUGAUAAAUUUAAUCUGGAUGUCUUCCUCUUUGUUUGCAUGUCAAUAAAUCUGAUCUGGAUUUUCUU